rnacentral:hammerhead_ribozyme from 1 species
AUCCAGGUGACGAGUCCCAAAUAGGACUAAACGCGCGUCCUGGAU